GCCUGUGGGGCUGGGGAGCUGCUUCCCCCCCACACAGCUCGGGAGCGGCUCAUUCAGCAGCAGAGGGUGCUCAUGCUCCGCCGUGAAAAUCCUGCUUCUCCCUCAGCCAUCUUAGGGAAAAGCGGAUUCUUUCCCUGCAGUCUCCAUUUUAUGUUUCUGACGCAGAAAAUAUAAAGAUGUUUCCUGGGGUUUCUCCAUUUGCCUUGUGAAGAGAUCAAGACUGGCCCUGGAGCUGGAGGAGGCUGGGCUGAGCACUAACGUGGUGCAGGCAGUGGUGGAAGCAUGGAGAAGGAGAAGCCCAAACUUCUCCUAUCAGCUCUGGGUCUCAUCGGGAGCUGUUGUCACGGAAACAGAGAUCUGCAGAGCCCCGUGCGCUUGGCGUUAACCGCCUCGGUGCCGUGCUGAUGGGCAGGAAG
rnacentral:lncRNA from 14 species